rnacentral:rRNA from 1 species
CUACGUAGGUGACAAGCGUUAUCCGGAUUUACUGGGCGUAAAGGGCGUGUAGGCGGUCUUGCAAGUCAGAAGUGAAAUUCCUGAGCUCAACUCGGGCGCUGCUUCUGAAACUGCAGGACUUGAGUGCUGGAGGGGAUAGCGGAAUUCCUAGUGGAGCGGUAAAAUGCGCAGAUAUUAGGAAGAACACCGGUGGCGAAGGCGGCAAUCUGUACAGUAACUGACGCUGAGGCGCGAAAGCGUGGGGAGCAAAAAGGAUUAGAUCCCCUGGUAGUCCACGCCGUAAACGAUGAAUACUAGGUGUAGGGGGUAUCGACUCCCUCUGUGCCGCAGUUAAAACAAUAAGUAUUCCGCCUGGGGAGUACGGCCGCAAGGUUGAAACUCAAAUGAAUUGGCGGG